GAUGAACGCUAGCGAUAGGCUUAACACAUGCAAGUCGAGGGGCAGCAUGGUCUUAGCUUGCUAAGACUGAUGGCGACCGGCGCACGGGUGCGUAACGCGUAUGCAACUUGCCUCACAGAGGGGGAUAACCCGUCGAAAGACGGACUAAUACCGCGUACACUCCCUCUUGGGCAUCCAAGGUAGAGGAAAUGAACUUCGCUGUGAGAUAGGCAUGCGUCCCAUUAGCUAGUUGGUGAGGUAACGGCUCACCAAGGCGACGAUGGGUAGGGGAACUGAGAGGUUGAACCCCCACACUGGUACUGAGACACGGACCAGACUCCUACGGGAGGCAGCAGUGAGGAAUAUUGGUCAAUGGGCGAGAGCCUGAACCAGCCAAGUCGCGUGAAGGAUGACUGUCUUAUGGAUUGUAAACUUCUUUUAUACGGGAAUAGCAAGAGUCACGUGUGACUCCCUGCAUGUACCGUAUGAAUAAGCAUCGGCUAACUCCGUG
rnacentral:rRNA from 1 species